UACGGAGGGGGCUAGCGUUGUUCGGAAUUACUGGGCGUAAAGCGCACGUAGGCGGCUUUGUAAGUUAGAGGUGAAAGCCCGGAGCUCAACUCCGGAAUUGCCUUUAAGACUGCAUCGCUAGAAUUGUGGAGAGGUAAGUGGAAUUCCGAGUGUAGAGGUGAAAUUCGUAGAUAUUCGGAAGAACACCAGUGGCGAAGGCGACUUACUGGACACAUAUUGACGCUGAGGUGCGAAAGCGUGGGGAGCAAACAGG
rnacentral:rRNA from 1 species